AACGGUCUAUACCUGCGGUACCUGCGGAAGGAUCAUUACCGAGUUAUCCAACUCCCAACCCCUGUGAAUCAUACCUUUAAUUGUUGCUUCGGCGGGACUUCGCGCCCGCCGGGGACCCAAACCUUCUGAAUUUUUUAAUAAGUAUCUUCUGAGUGGUUAAAAAAAAUGAAUCAAAACUUUUAACAACGGAUCUCU
rnacentral:misc_RNA from 1 species